rnacentral:rRNA from 1 species
UACAGAGGUCUCAAGCGUUGUUCGGAUUCAUUGGGCGUAAAGGGUGUGUAGGUGGCGCCGUAAGUCGGGUGUGAAAUUUCGGAGCUUAACUCCGAAACUGCAUUCGAUACUGCGGUGCUUGAGGACUGGAGAGGAGACUGGAAUUCAUGGUGUAGCAGUGAAAUGCGUAGAGAUCAUGAGGAAGACCAGUGGCGAAGGCGGGUCUCUGGACCAGCACUGACACUGAGGCACGAAAGCGUGGGGAGCAAACAGG